AUUCUGAUGCAUUCCAUGUAUCAAUUUCACCUUAUUUCCCAAUUCCUUUCGUUACUCACCCCACAAAUUUCGCUGCAUGGCUCAUUUUCGAAGCGCUUGCCCAUUUCCUUGAAAUGUUAAAAGUAUCUCUACCUCACUCUGGCUCAAGAUAAGUUCACGUUUUGAUAAGUAGAAACCCUGAAGCAAUCCAGAAAUGAAUUUCAUCUUACUCACUCCAUUUUUUGUUCACAUAAUGGACACAUUUUGGAAAUACUGCUCCUAUCCUAAGCAGUCUUACAUGCGAAAUUUCUACUAAAAAUAUUUCAACCCCACUCAGGCCAAGGGCGUGUCAUCUCUCCGAACCACCUGCCGAUGUUUCUUUCCAAUGUUCAAAAUAUUUUUACCUCACACACAUUCAAGGAUUCCAUUUGUGCAGCCCAAGUCUAUAAAAGAGUGAGGUCAAACAACAGCAAUGAUGCCUGAGGUGCCUGUUUGCCCCACAUGAACACCAACAGUGUAAAACUAUCAACUUUGAGGACUACGAAUCAGUCAAGAUCACACUUCAUCGGGUGACACCUCUAGAGUGAACACUGCAAAUUAUAGGACUUCAUAUGUUCCUGUCAUCCACUACAAUGGUCCAAGUGUUUCACAAUGUAGGCAACGUGCAAGAAAAAAAAUGACCUUUGGCGGCCUGCAAAGGCGUGACAGUUAGUCAGUUGUAACGGCAGUGGCCACGCGUGGAGCCAGAAAUGUGCGCUCACUUGUACAUUCCAUCACUGCCAGUCAGAACUCAUGUUGAGGAAGCUAUCUCCUCCUGAUGGUCCUGAGGUUGAGGAAGUCUCCUCUACUAGAGGAGUAAGAACACACCAUGUGACGCCAUCGGGAACAUUCCACCUCUCCAGCAUCCUUUCCGUCCUGUGCGAGUAUCACCGUCUCUGUCGUGAGAAACACUAUAGGGGCACAGAGUCUUGGUAGCACCCAUCUAAGCCCUACACAGCCACAUCCCCUGACACACUUCCUUUGCCAGCAGCAACAUUAGCAAGGGUGAAGCAAGUUCCUUAACUGGCUUAAAACUGUACUACAAUGCAACUUCAGCUACUGUGCAAUAAAUCCUCGUCUCCAAUGA